AUACGUAGGGGGCGAGCGUUGUCCGGAAUUACUGGGCGUAAAGGGUGCGUAGGUGGCCUUUUAAGUUGGAUGUGAAAUACCCGGGCUUAACUUGGGGGGUGCAUCCAAAACUGGGAGGCUAGAGUGCAGGAGAGGAAAGCGGAAUUCCUAGUGUAGCGGUGAAAUGCGUAGAUAUUAGGAGGAACACCAGUGGCGAAGGCGGCUUUCUGGACUGUAACUGACACUGAGGCACGAAAGCGUGGGGAGCAAACAGGAUUAGAUACCCUGGUAGUCCACGCGGUAAACGAUGAAUACUAGGUGUAGGGGGUAUCAACUCCCCCUGUGCCGCAGCAAACGCAAUAAGUAUUCCGCCUGGGGAGUACGGCCGCAAGGUUGAA
rnacentral:rRNA from 1 species